CCUACGGGUGGCAGCAGUGAGGAAUAUUGGUCAAUGGGCGAGAGCCUGAACCAGCCAAGUCGCGUGAAGGAUGACGGCCCUACGGGUUGUAAACUUCUUUUGUCAGGGAGCAAUUGGGUCCACGCGUGGGCUUAGCGAGAGUACCUGAAGAAAAAGCAUCGGCUAACUCCGUGCCAGCAGCCGCGGUAAUACGGAGGAUGCGAGCGUUAUCCGGAUUUUUUGGGUUUAAAGGGUGCGUAGGCGGAAUAUCAAGUAAGCGGUAAAAAUUGGGGUCUCAACCCCGGCGAGCCGUUGAAAAUGAUGUUCAUGAGUGGGCGAGAAGUAUGCGGAAGGAGUGGUGUAGCGGUGAAAUGCAGAG
rnacentral:rRNA from 1 species